GCACCGUAGCAUAAUGGUUAAGGAGCUGCUUUUCCAAAGCAGAUGUGGUGGGUUCAAUUCCCAGGUAGUGCA